GGGUCGCCUGACUAGGCGUGGGGCCUACUUUGGGAGCAGGAGACCGCAGGUUCGAGUCCUGUCGCCCCG
rnacentral:tRNA from 1 species